rnacentral:lncRNA from 1 species
AUAGUGUAAUAUAUAUUAUAUAUUAUAUUUAAAUAUAAAAUCUAUGUAAAAUAUAUUUAUUAUUAUAUAUUUUUUUAUUUUAAUAUAUAAUUUAAUUUAUUUAAAUUUUUUUUAUUUAAUUAAAUACUACACACACACACACACACACACACACACACACACACACACACACACACAUAUAGUCUAACACACACACACACACACACACACACACACACACAACACACACACACACUAUAUAUGUGGGUGUGUGUUUGUUGUGUGUGUGUAUGUGCUCGUUCCAUUCCAUAAUCUUUUUUAAAAUUGAAAUUAAAAUCUUGUUCUCUACUUUAAUUAAAUUUUAGGAAUUGAAUCAGCAUGCUUUUGCCAAGGGCCAAAAUUCAAAUGCAAUACAACUGUGCAAAAUUAAUGCAGUUUCCAGUGAAAAUCAGCGGAAGGAAACCGGAUCAGAUCCACUUCAGUGACGGAAAUGAGCGAUGAAUGACUUCCAUGAACCUGGACGGAUCGCGAACUCCCAGCAGAGUUUGUCUGUGUGAACGUCUGCUGCAAUCGACCCGUAAAAACAACCUGGACUCAACCAUUUAGAAUAAAUCUGAGCAUCGCAGGCAGACGCUCCUGAUGAACGGACAAUAACCCUGAUGCAUCGUUUCCAGGAAAGUCCUCCGUUAUAUCGACCCCUCCUUUGCACUUAUUAAAGACACAGCGAGGUGCAAUCAGAAUACAGAAAAGCACCGGCAGAAUCACUUUCAUCUGUAAUUCACAAUCGACAGAAUCAGGACUACAUCAGGGAUUGAUUCUCUGUCUGCUGGAAAAACAUCACGUGACACAUGUUUUCCUGAAACUAAGACACACAGAGUCUCCCCGUGACUCCCGUCAGCGCCUGAUUGGGCGGAAUCUCGUCGCCGUAACCAUGGCGACUGCCCACAGAGCACCUGGAGUGGUGACGCAGGCGUCGCUAUGACUCCUGAAGGACGGAGCGGCGAUAUAAAUAGAAAAAGAGAUAAGAAACGGGGGGAUAUUUGGGGAAGAUGAUGGCAGCUGUGACCCACACACACACACACUAGAGCC